rnacentral:rRNA from 1 species
AGCGGUGGAGUAUGUGGCUCAAUUCGAUGCAACGCGAAGACCUACCUGGCCUUGACAUGCACUAGACAGACGCUGAAAGGCGUUCUCCCUUCGGGGCUGUGCACAGUGCUGCAUGGCUGUCGUCAGCUCGUGUCGUGAGAUGUUGCGUUAAGUCGCGCAACGAGCGCAACCCCUGUCCUUAGUGCCAUCAUUAAGUUGGGCACUCUAGGAGACAAACCCUCUUUGAGGGUGGGAAGGUGGGGAUGACGUCAAGUCAGGAUGG